rnacentral:rRNA from 1 species
UACGAAGGGAGCUAGCGUUGUUCGGAAUCACUGGGCGUAAAGCGCACGUAGGCGGAUGUGUCAGUCAGGGGUGAAAUCCCGGAGCUCAACUUCGGAACUGCCUUUGAUACAGCACAUCUGGAGUCCGGAAGAGGUGGGUGGAAUUCCUAGUGUAGAGGUGAAAUGCGCAGAUAUCGGGAAGAACACCCGUGGCGAAGGCGGUUCUCUGGGACGGUACUGACGCUGAGACGCGAAAGCGUGGGGAGCGAACAGG